GACGAACGCUGGCGGCGUGCCUAACACAUGCAAGUCGAACGGAGAUAUUUGAAAGAAGUUUUCGGAUGGAUUUUAAAUAUCUUAGUGGCGGACGGGCGAGUAACGCGUGAGCAACCUGCCCUUCAGUGGGGAAUAACGACCGGAAACGGGCGCUAAUACCGCAUAAAAUAUACAUUUGGCAUCGAAAGUAUAUCAAAGGAGCAAUUCGCUGAAGGAUGGGCUCGCGUCCGAUUAGCUGGUUGGUGAGGUAACGGCUCACCAAGGCGACGAUCGGUAGCCGAACUGAGAGGUUGAUCGGCCGCAUUGGGACUGAGACACGGCCCAGACUCCUACGGGAGGCAGCAGUGGGGGAUAUUGCACAAUGGAGGAAACUCUGAUGCAGCAACGCCGCGUGAGGGAAGAAGGUCUUCGGAUUGUAAACCUUAGUAGUCAGGGACGAAACAAAUGACGGUACCUGAAGAGUAAGCUCCGGCUAACUACGUGCCAGCAGCCGCGGUAAUAGUCACG
rnacentral:rRNA from 1 species